rnacentral:rRNA from 1 species
AUACGGAGGGUGCAAGCGUUACUCGGAAUCACUGGGCGUAAAGCGCGCGCAGGCGGCCAUUUAAGUUGGAUGUGAAAGCCUACGGCUCAACCGUAGAACUGCAUCCAAAACUAUUUGGCUAGAGUGUGGGAGAGGAAGAUGGAAUUAGUUGUGUAGGGGUAAAAUCCGUAGAGAUAACUAGGAAUACCAAAAGCGAUGGCAAUCUUCUGGAACAUUACUGACGCUGAGGCGCGAAAGCGUGGGGAGCAAACAGGAUUAGAAACCCUAGUAGUCC